UGCAAGUCAAUGGGCAUUUGUCUAAACCCAUGGGCGAAAUGAAAGUGAGAAAGGGUGCUUUUAGCGCUCUGAGGGCUGAUCCCUGAUCCAAGUCGUGGGUGCUAAAGGUCAUGCAGAAGUGUACUGAGGUGAGUUCUCUUUUCCCUCUGGUAUAACAUGUUGGCACGAACCACUUGUCUCCGGACGAACACGGCGCUUUGGGUCUACACCCAUGCAAAUGGGGGGUCGCAAGCCCGGGACGUGUCAAGACGCGACCGCUUGUGCCGGCUUGCUGGUAGCUUGUGGCCUGUAGUCGACAUGUACCUUGAGCAGACAUGUUAGUACCCGAAAGAUGGUGAACUAUGCCUGGCCAGGAUGAAGCCAGAGGAAACUCUGGUGGAGGUCCGAAGCAAUUCUGACGUGCAAAUCGAUUGUCAGAGCUGGGCAUAGGGGCGAAAGACUAAUCGAACCAUCUAGUAGCUGGUUCCCUCCGAAGUUUCCCUCAGGAUAGCUGGGACUCGUCUACGGAUUAACAUCCGGUAAAGCGAAUGAUUAGAGGUUUUGGGGACGGAACGUCCUCAAGCUAUUCUCAAACUUUAAAUGGGUGAGAAGCCAAGCUUGCUUAACUGAAGCUUUGGUCUUUGUUUUUAAUCUGAGAGCCUAGUGGGCCAAUUUU
rnacentral:rRNA from 1 species